rnacentral:rRNA from 1 species
UUGGCUACCACUUACAGAUGGGCCCGCGGCGCAUUAGCUAGUUGGUGAGGUAACGGCUCACCAAGGCGACGAUGCGUAGCCGACCUGAGAGGGUGAUCGGCCACACUGGGACUGAGACACGGCCCAGACUCCUACGGGAGGCAGCAGUAGGGAAUCUUCCGCAAUGGACGAAAGUUUGACGGAGCAACGCCGCGUGAGUGAUGAAGGUUUUUGGAUCGUAAAGCUCUGUUGUUAGGGAAGAACAAGUGCCGUUCAAAUAGGGCGGCACCUUGACGGUACCUAACCAGAAAGCCACGGCUAACUACGUGCCAGCAGCCGCGGUAAUACGUAGGUGGCAAGCGUUGUCCGGAAUUAUUGGGCGUAAAGGGCUCGCAGGCGGUUUCUUAAGUCUGAUGUGAAAGCCCCCGGCUCAACCGGGGAGGGUCAUUGGAAACUGGGGAACUUGAGUGCAGAAGAGGAGAGUGGAAUUCCACGUGUAGCGGUGAAAUGCGUAGAGAUGUGGAGGAACACCAGUGGCGAAGGCGACUCUCUGGUCUGUAACUGACGCUGAGGAGCGAAAGCGUGGGGAGCGAACAGGAUUAGAUACCCUGGUAGUCCACGCCGUAAACGAUGAGUGCUAAGUGUUAGGGGGUUUCCGCCCCUUAGUGCUGCAGCUAACGCAUUAAGCACUCCGCCUGGGGAGUACGGUCGCAAGACUGAAACUCAAAGGAAUUGACGGGGGCCCGCACAAGCGGUGGAGCAUGUGGUUUAAUUCC